rnacentral:rRNA from 1 species
AGUGAACGCUGGCGGCGUGCUUAACACAUGCAAGUCGAGCGAAUUUCAGCAGCGUAUCGCUGGAGUUAGCGGCAGACGGGUGAGUAAUACUUGGGCAAUCUACCUUCAAGAGGGGGACAACCUGCCGAAAGGCGGGCUGAUACCCCAUAAGACCACAGGGCCGCAUGGCCAAGGGGUCAAAGCUCCGCAAGGGGCACUAG